rnacentral:rRNA from 1 species
CCGCUCAGAGUAUAAGCCAAUGGAGCUUGGAAGGCUUCCGCAGAUGGUGUCCAUCAUACGUGGUGUUCUUAAGACCUUGAGUCUCGCUCGUCAGGCGUAGCAUUGAGUUUGCCAGGUUAGCUGUCGUGCGGGGGUUCGGCUUGGAGGUCUCAGGCUUCGGCCGAAGGGCUUCCGGCUGUCCCCUUUGGAAUGGUCGUUCAGAGCUCUUGUGUCUAAUGCGGUUAUGCCCACCACAGCACGUUGUGAGGUCACCCACAGGCUCAAACUGCCGAUCGCGCAUCCAGGACGAUGGCAACGAUGCGUUGUUGGCGCGUGUGCGGGAGCGAGUCGCUCCACGCCGCCACACGCGUGUCUAGUCCUGGGUCGGGCGGCGACCGAGAUAAACCUGGUACGAUCCUCUUGCGACGAGCUGCUUUCUGGCCAGACCGACGCCCAGUCGCCUCCACUGUGCCGGAAGCGUCAACCCCAGGCGGUGUGAACCCAGCUGCAUUAAGUAAGGUCUCUCAGCCGGGCGUUGGUCUGAGUGGUGUUAAGUCCAGCACCAUCGGUCACGUCUCGAAACACGGGCCAAGGAGUAUAGCAUGUGUGCAAGUCUAAGGGUCUCACAAAACCCGAAGGCGAAGUGAAAGCAAGACUGUGGCGGGGGAGCUACGGCGAACCCGCCGGCCUAGUGCGGCGCCUCGUGCGUCGCCUGGCUUAAAGCAGAGCUGAUCCUGUUUUAUCGGUUAAUUCUUGGUGCAGGCGCAAGCUCCGGGCUCACGUACAACACUGGUCACGCCUCGUGCGCGGCUGUGU